UACGAAGGGGGCUAGCGUUGCUCGGAAUCACUGGGCGUAAAGCGCACGUAGGCGGCUUUUUAAGUCAGGGGUGAAAUCCUGGAGCUCAACUCCAGAACUGCCUUUGAUACUGAGAAGCUUGAGUCCGGGAGAGGUGAGUGGAAUUCCUAGUGUAGAGGUGAAAUUCGUAGAUAUUAGGAAGAACACCAGUGGCGAAGGCGGCUCACUGGCCCGGUACUGACGCUGAGGCGCGAAAGCGUGGGGAGCAAACAGGG
rnacentral:rRNA from 1 species